rnacentral:rRNA from 1 species
UACAGAGGUCUCAAGCGUUGUUCGGAUUCAUUGGGCGUAAAGGGUGCGCAGGCGGUUUUGUAAGCCAGAUGUGAAAGCCCCGGGCUUAACCUGGGAAUGGCAUUGGGACUGCAAGGCUUGAGUGCGGCAGAGGAGACUGGAAUUCCUGGUGUAGCAGUGAAAUGCGUAGAUAUCAGGAGGAAUACCGAUGGCGAAGGCAGGUCUCUGGGCUGACACGUGACGCUCAUGCACGAAAGCGUGGGGAGCAAACAGG